GGGGCACAUUUCGGUUCUUGGCAGCAAAGUUUUCUCACCACACUUUUGGGGACCAAGGUGGUUGCUGACAGACAGCGAAGUUUGAGGGUGGAUGAAGGCUGAAUAAAGAUGAAGGAGGUCCCAUGGAAGUGGGAAGGAGCUACAUUUGGCCGGACAGCGGAUGUCCUGGGAGCACAAAUGUGUAUAAUGUACAUGGAGACUGUUUGAGGUGGUGAGGCAGCUGGAAGGAGGUUUUUGCUCCAAAACAUAAUGUCCAGGGCAGGACAGGAGAAAGACGGGAGAACAAGUUGUAGUGAUGAAACGUACAGAUAGCAGGAUGGCAAGUGAUGAAAGAACAGGCUUUUUACGGCAGGCGUAGUUGUAGCGCACACGGCUGAAACUUCUUAGGGAGCAGAUCAGUGAAAGCUGCCUCUCCAGACUGAAGAGUCCUUUUUCAGCUGCAUGUGGCCUGAAAGAGAGGGCAGCAAGAACCACUUUCCUCUUGGCACGGUGGCCAGAAGCUACAAGGUGCUGCAAGUGCAUCUGUCCUUGCAGGAGGGAGGGAGAUGAUUUUAUCUUUGUGAGGAGGCAGAGGGAGAGAAGCUCGGUAGGCAAUGGCUCAGCCCUUUCAUCAAGCCAGACAGUAAAAGUGGAUGGGGGAAAGGGAAGGGGACCAGCUCAUCUCCCCGAAGAGUCACUCCUGCCCAGCAGGGCAGGUGGAGCGGGCCAGAAGCUGGGCUGUUCUCCAUGUAGGCCUGACUCGUAUCUCCUGAGUCACUUGGGAGCACUGAGAGCUGGAAAGCGAGAGCUCAUUUCUGGCAAAAUGCGCAUUCAUCUCCGCUCUGAUGGGAGCAGGGCAAAGUAAGGGUGCCUGGUAAAGUGGCAGGGUUUGGCUCUGCUGAUUCCAGCACGCUGACAGCAAAAGUCUUGGAGAGAAAGAACUGGGCAGCUUUCUUGCCCAUUUUUCAAGGGUUUGUCAUUCACUCCUCAAAGCAAAUGACAAGAUGGCCAAAGGUGAAUGCCUGACAUGGGAAGUGCUCACGAGGCAGGCUGCUGGGGUUUGUCCUGACCCCGCAGGGAUGCUGCUCUCGGAGCUGCUUGCUGCUGAGAGGUCCACUGUCAUCUCUCUGAUCUCUCACUCAUUUCAAACAGGCAGCAGAGCCUUCGGAGGGGUCAGUUCCAAAAAUGAGUGCUAGGCAGAUGGCAGUUAGGAAGUAGUGAACCUGAACCUGUAUAU